rnacentral:rRNA from 1 species
UGAGUUAGUGGGGACGUCACAGGGGGCUCAUCGUCGUCGUGCAAACGGCGGCGGUGGGUCCCUGGGGCCCAGAUCGUUUACCGUGAAAAAAUUAGAGUGUUCAAAGCAGGCAGAUCCAAUUUUCUGCCACCGAAUACAUUAGCAUGGGAUAAUGGAAUAGGACCCUGUCCUCCUAUUUUCAGUUGGUUUUGGCAGCGCGAGGACUAGGGUAAUGAUUAAUAGGGAUAGUUGGGGGCAUUAAUAUUUAAUUGUCAGAGGUGAAAUUCUUGGAUUUAUGAAAGAUUAACUUCUGCGAAAGCAUCUGCCAAGGAUGUUUUCAUUAAUCAAGAACGAAAGUUAGGGGAUCGAAGACGAUCAGAUACCGUCGUAGUCUUAACCAUAAACGAUGCCGACCAGCGAUUAGGAGACGUUGAAUACAAAACACCACCAUCGGUGCGGUCGUCCUUGGCGUCGGUUUCGGCCGGCGCGGGGGCGGCUUAGCCCGGUGGCACCGGUGAAUGACUCCCCUAGCAGCUUGUGAGAAAUCAUAAGUCUUUGGGUUCCGGGGGGAGUAUGGUCGCAAGGCUGAAACUUAAAGGAAUUGACGGAAGGGCACCACCAGGAGUGGAGCCUGCGGCUUAAUUUGACUCAACACGGGGAAACUUACCAGGUCCGGACAUAGUAAGGAUUGACAGAU